UUACGGCUAUAUCACGUUGAAACACCGGCUCUCGUACGAUCAGCGAAGUUAAGCAACGUCGACCCUGGUCAGUACCUAGAUGGGUGGGUGUUUGGGAAUACCAGGUUCUGUAA